CAACAGGAUUUUCUCAAAUCCACCCAAAUCAGAAAGUAUCGCGAUA
rfam:Thalassiosira oceanica strain CCMP1005 To_g45693, whole genome shotgun sequence.